rnacentral:rRNA from 1 species
GGAGGCGACCGCUAUUGGAGUUCGAUUAAGCCAUGCGAGUCGAGAGCUUUAGGAGCUCGGCAUACUGCUCAGUAACACGUGGAUAACCUGCCCUGUGCUCCGGGAUAACCUCGGGAAACUGAGAAUAAUACCGGAUAGUCCACCACGCCUGGAACGGUGGGUGGAUCAAAGGUCACGGCACAGGAUGGGUCUGCGGCGUAUCAGGUUGUAGGGGGUGUAAAGGACCCCCUAGCCAUUGACGCGUACGGGUUGUGGGAGCAAUCGCCCGGAGAUGGAUUCUGAGACACGAAUCCAGACCCUACGGGGUGCAGCAGGCGCGAAAACUUCACACUGCAGGAAACUGUGAUGAGGGAACUCCAAGUGCAUGCACAAUGUGUAUACUUUUCCUUACUUUUAAUCGGUUUGGGAAUAAGGGCUGGGAAAGACCGGUG